rnacentral:rRNA from 1 species
CCCUUAGACGUUCUGGGCCGCACGCGCGCUACACUGACCAGUGCAACAAGCAUCCGUCCUUGGCCGACAGGCCCGGGCAAUCUUUGAACGCUGGUCGUGAUGGGGAUAGACUUUUGCAAUUUUUGGUCUUCAACGAGGAAUUCCUAGUAAACGCAAGUCAUCAACUUGCAUUGAUUACGUCCCUGCCCUUUGUACACACCGCCCGUCGCACCUACCGAUUGAAUGGUCCGGUGAAGCCUCCGGAUUGGCGCGCACCUCGGUGCCGCCGAGAAGUUGGCUAAACCUUACCAUUUAGAGGAAGGUGAAGCCGUAACA